rnacentral:tRNA from 1 species
GACAGUAUAGCUCAGUGGUAGAGGGCGUGCUUAGCAUGCACGAGGUCCUGGGUUCAACCCCCAGUACUUCUG